GUGCUCACUUUGGCAGCAUAUACACUAAAAUUGGAACAAUACGGAGAAGAUUAGCAUAGUCUCUGAGCAAGCAUGACACACAAAUUCAUGAAGCAUUUCAAAUUUUU